GGAUGAACGUUGGCGGCGUGCCUAAUACAUGCAAGUCGAACGAAGACUGUAGUAAUACUGUCUUAGUGGCGAACGGGUGAGUAACGCGUGGGUGACCUGCCCCGAAGUGUGGGAUAACAGUCCGAAAGGAUUGCUAAUACUGCAUAAUAUCCAAGAGAUUAGAUGCUUUUGGAUUAAAGGAGUAAUUCGCUUCGGGAGGGGCCCGCGUCCCAUCAGCUAGUUGGUAAGGUAAUGGCUUACCAAGGCGAUGACGGGUAGGGGACCUGAGAGGGUGGCCCCCCACAAUGGAACUGAAACACGGUCCAUACACUUACGGGUGGCAGCAGUAGGGAAUAUUAGUAAUGGGCGAAAGCCUGAACUAGCAACGCCGCGUGUGCGAAGAAGGCCUUCGGGUCGUAAAGCACUUUUUGAGAGGAUGAGGAAGGACGGUACUCUCAGAAUAAGUCUCGGCUAACUACGUGCCAGCAGCCGCGGUAACACGUAGGAGGCAAACGUUAUCCGGAUUUACUGGGCGUAAAGCGCGUGUAGGUGGUUUGGUAAGUAGGGCGUGAAAGCUCCUGGCUCAACUGGGAGAGGACGUUCUAAACUGCCAAGCUUGAGGAUGGUAGAGGGAGGUGGAAUUCCGGGUGUAGCGGUGGAAUGCGCAGAUAUCCGGAGGAACACCAGUGGCGAAGGCGGCCUCCUGGACCACUCCUGACACUCAGACGCGAAAGCUAGGGUAGCAAACGGGAUUAGAGACCCCGGUAGUCCUAGCCCUAAACGAUGUAGACUUGGCGUCGGUGGUUUAAUCGCCAUCGGUGUCGUAGCUAACGCGAUAAGUCUACCGCCUGGGGACUACGGCCGCAAGGUUAAAACUCAAAGGAAUUGACGGGUCCCCGCACAAGCAGCGGAGCGUGUGGUUUAAUUCGAUGCUACACGAAGAACCUUACCUGGGUUUGACAUCCACGGGAGGCUUCAGAGAUGGAGCUGUGCCGGCGUAAGCUGGAGCCGUGAGACAGGUGCUGCAUGGCUGUCGUCAGCUCGUGUCGUGAGAUGUUGGGUUAAGUCCCGCAACGAGCGCAACCCUUGCCUUCAGUUACCAUCAUUAAGUUGGGGACUCUGGAGGGACCGCUGCGGUAACAACGCAGAGGAAGAUGGGGACGACGUCAAGUCAUCAUGGUCCUUAUGGCCGGGGCUACACACGUGCUACAAUGGCAGUUACAGAGGGAUGCGAUUCAGUAAUGAGGAGCGAAACUCAGAAAAGCUGCCGCAGUUCGGAUUGAGGUCUGCAACUCGGCCUCAUGAAGUCGGAAUCGCUAGUAAUCGCGCAACAUCAUGGCGCGGUGAAUACGUUCCCGGGCCU
rnacentral:rRNA from 1 species